CAGGAUUAUGAAAGUCCGGCCUUGACGAACAGUUAAUAGCAGAACGAACUGACCACAGCUAUUUGUAGGUACAAGAACAUCUGCUGAGAUGGAGGACCGCGUGAGCAGUGUUAUCCGUGGCAAGUCCUUGAAAUGUGCCACUGCAUUUACCAAAAGUUUCAUCUAGAAUCGAAGGCAACAGUACCUGCUUCAACGGGAGACUCAAAAGGUGGAAUGGUAGACAUGGCUGCCCAAUCAACGUCAACAUCGGCAUCGGAGAAGGAUUCGGAAGUUCAUCUGCCUGAUGGAACAGUUGUCCUUUUCCUUCUUGAAUAAACUGCUUAAUUAUU